AUACGGAGGGUGCAAGCGUUGUCCGGAUUUAUUGGGUUUAAAGGGUGCGUAGGCGGAUAAUUAAGUCAGUGGUGAAAGACUGCAGCUCAACUGUAGAGGUGCCAUUGAUACUGAUUAUCUCGAGUACAGUUGAGGUAGGCGGAAUUUAUGGUGUAGCGGUGAAAUGCAUAGAUACCAUAAAGAACACCGAUAGCGAAGGCAGCUUACUGGACUGUAACUGACGCUGAGGCACGAAAGCGUGGGGAGCGAACGGGAUUAGAAACCCCAGUAGUCC
rnacentral:rRNA from 1 species